rnacentral:tRNA from 1 species
CUGCCCGUAGCUCAGCUGGAUUAGAGCAACGGUCUUCUAAACCGUAGGUCACAGGUUCGAAUCCUGUCGGGCAGGCCA